UCUCGUUGAACUUAGUGGCGGACGGGUGAGUGACGUGUGGGCAACUUGCCUCAUACAGGGGAAUAAUCACUGGAAACGGUGACUAAUACCGCAUACGAUUGGCUGAAGGCAUCUUUGGCCAAGGAAAGGAGCAAUCCGGUAUGAGAUGGGCCCGCAUCUGAUUAGCUAGUUGGUGAGAUAAUAGCCCACCAAGGCAAUGAUCAGUAGCCGACCUGAGAGGGUGAACGGCCACAUUGGGACUGAGACACGGCCCAAACUCC
rnacentral:rRNA from 1 species